AUGUAGUUUAUUUUAAAAAUGUUAUGUUUGGGGUAUAGUGAAGUGGGUCUUGA
rnacentral:tRNA from 1 species